rnacentral:lncRNA from 1 species
UGGAGGAGGAAUUAUCCACUUUACUUGGAAAGUUUGAAGACCAAGAACGGUGAUACACCUUUGGAAGGUAUAUCAAGUUUGCUCGUAAUUGAAUCUAACCUAGUGAUUUCUUUUAUUUCUAGUUAGAUAUUAGAUUUUGAUUUUAGUGCUCAUAUAUGUACUUCAAUGUAGUCUCUAAUAGAAAGUAGGAGGUUGAGGC